rnacentral:rRNA from 1 species
GUGAUAUUUUAAACGGCCGCGGUAUCCUAACCGUGCAAAGGUAGCAUAAUCACUUGUCCCCUAAAUAGGGACUGGAAUGAACGGCUACAUGAAGACUUUACUGUCUCUUGCUGCUAGUCAAUGAAACUGAUCUCCCAGUACAAAAGCUGGAAUAACCUCAUAAGACAAAAAGACCCUGUGGAGCUUUUAAACCAAGAACACCAAAAUGUUCUAUCACGGUUUUUAGUUGGGGCGACUUCGGAAUAAAAUAAAACUUCCGAAACCAUGGAAUCAUUCCCAUAUUUAAGGCCAACACGCCAAGAUUAAUCAUCUACUUGACCCAGUUUACCACAUACUGAUCAAUGAACCAAGUUACCCCAGGGAUAACAGCGCCAUCUUCUUUUAGAGUCCAUAUCGACAAGAAGGUUUACGACCUCGAUGUUGGAUCAGGACACCCAAAUAGUGCAGCCGCUAUUAAAGGUUCGUUUGUUCAACGAUUAAUAGUCCUACGUGAUCU